GACGAAGGUGGCAAGCGUUAUUCGGAUUUACUGGGCAUAAAGCGCGCGUAGGCGGCUUGGCAAGUCGGGGGUGAAAGCCCGCAGCUCAACUGCGGAACUGCCUUCGAUACUGCCGGGCUUGAGGGCGGGAGGGGUGAUUGGAACUCCAGGUGUAGCGGUGAAAUGCGUAGAUAUCUGGAGGAACACCGGAGGCGAAGGCGAAUCACUGGACCGCUUCUGACGCUGAGGCGCGAAAGCGUGGGGAGCGAACAGG
rnacentral:rRNA from 1 species